GAUGAACGCUGGCGGCGUGCCUAAUACAUGCAAGUCGAGCGAACGGACAAGAAGCUUGCUUCUCUGAUGUUAGCGGCGGACGGGUGAGUAACACGUGGAUAACCUACCUAUAAGACUGGGAUAACUUCGGGAAACCGGAGCUAAUACCGGAUAAUAUUUUGAACCGCAUGGUUCAAAAGUAAAAGACGGUCUUGCUGUCACUUAUAGAUGGAUCCGCGCUGCAUUAGCUAGUUGGUAAGGUAACGGCUUACCAAGGCAACGAUGCAUAGCCGACCUGAGAGGGUGAUCGGCCACACUGGAACUGAGACACGGUCCAGACUCCUACGGGAGGCAGCAGUAGGGAAUCUUCCGCAAAGGGCGAAAGCCUGACGGAGCAACGCCGCGUGAGUGAUGAAGGUCUUCGGAUCGUAAAACUCUGUUAUUAGGGAAGAACAUAUGUGUAAGUAACUGUGCACAUCUUGACGGUACCUAAUCAGAAAGCCACGGCUAACUACGUG
rnacentral:rRNA from 1 species